GCCCAGACUCCUACGGGAGGCAGCAGUAGGGAAUCUUCCGCAAUGGACGAAAGUCUGACGGAGCAACGCCGCGUGAGUGAUGAAGGUUUUCGGAUCGUAAAGCUCUGUUGUUAGGGAAGAACAAGUACCGUUCGAAUAGGGCGGUACCUUGACGGUACCUAACCAGAAAGCCACGGCUAACUACGUGCCAGCAGCCGCGGUAAUACGUAGGUGGCAAGCGUUGUCCGGAAUUAUUGGGCGUAAAGGGCUCGCAGGCGGUUUCUUAAGUCUGAUGUGAAAGCCCCCGGCUCAACCGGGGAGGGUCAUU
rnacentral:rRNA from 1 species